rnacentral:rRNA from 1 species
AUGAACGCUGGCGGCGUGCCUAAUACCUGCCAGUCGAGCGAACAGACGAGGAGCUUGCUCCUCUGACGUUAGCGGCGGACGGGUGAGUAACACGUGGAUAACCUACCUAUAAGACUGGGAUAACUUCGGGAAACCGGAGCUAAUACCGGAUAAUAUAUUGAACCGCCUGGUUCAAUAGUGAAAGACGGUUUUGCUGUCACUUAUAGAUGGAUCCGCGCCGCAUUAGCUAGUUGGUAAGGUAACGGCUUACCAAGGCAACGAUGCGUAGCCGACCUGAGAGGGUGAUCGGCCACACUGGAACUGAGACACGGUCCAGACUCCUACGGGAGGCAGCAGUAGGGAAUCUUCCGCAAUGGGCGAAAGCCUGACGGAGCAACGCCGCGUGAGUGAUGAAGGUCUUCGGAUCGUAAAACUCUGUUAUUAGGGAAGAACAAAUGUGUAAGUAACUAUGCACGUCUUGACGGUACCUAAUCAGAAAGCCACGGCUAACUACGUG